CCUACGGGAGGCAGCAGUGGGGAAUAUUGGACAAUGGGCGCAAGCCUGAUCCAGCCAUGCCGCGUGUGUGAAGAAGGCCUUUUGGUUGUAAAGCACUUUAAGCGAGGAGGAGGCUACUUGGAUUAAUACUCUAGGAUAGUGGACGUUACUCGCAAAAUAAGCACCGGCUAACUCUGUGCCAGCAGCCGCGGUAAUA
rnacentral:rRNA from 1 species